rnacentral:lncRNA from 1 species
GAGGCCGGCUACAUGAAGUUCGACGAUAUCCGUAGUGCAUGGAAGAAUAAGGUGGCAGCCACCGAUGCUGAGAAAGCGACUGCACUCGAACAACUUAAGUUGGCGACAGAGUAGAAAGCCAAACUUAGGAGGAGGUUUUCUGACUAACUAACGACUUGGUAUCCUCGGGGGCCGAACUUAAGUCAGCUCACGCGGUUAUUUUGGCUCUUGAAUCGCAAGUCA